GGGCGCUUAGCUCAGUUGGCUAGAGCACCAGCUCGACAAGCUGGGGGUCAUUGGUUCAAGUCCAAUAGCGCCCA
rnacentral:tRNA from 1 species